UUAAGCGACUAAGCGUACACGGUGGAUGCCCUGGCAGUCAGAGGCGAUGAAGGACGUGCUAAUCUGCGAUAAGCGUCGGUAAGGUGAUAUGAACCGUUAUAACCGGCGAUUUCCGAAUGGGGAAACCCAGUGUGUUUCGACACACUAUCAUUAACUGAAUCCAUAGGUUAAUGAGGCGAACCGGGGGAACUGAAACAUCUAAGUACCCCGAGGAAAAGAAAUCAACCGAGAUUCCCCCAGUAGCGGCGAGCGAACGGGGAGGAGCCCAGAGCCUGAAUCAGUGUGUGUGUUAGUGGAAGCGUCUGGAAAGGCGCGCGAUACAGGGUGACAGCCCCGUACACAAAAAUGCACAUGCUGUGAGCUCGAUGAGUAGGGCGGGACACGUGGUAUCCUGUCUGAAUAUGGGGGGACCAUCCUCCAAGGCUAAAUACUCCUGACUGACCGAUAGUGAACCAGUACCGUGAGGGAAAGGCGAAAAGAACCCCGGCGAGGGGAGUGAAAAAGAACCUGAAACCGUGUACGUACAAGCAGUGGGAGCACGCUUAGGCGUGUGACUGCGUACCUUUUGUAUAAUGGGUCAGCGACUUAUAUUCUGUAGCAAGGUUAACCGAAUAGGGGAGCCGAAGGGAAACCGAGUCUUAACUGGGCGUUAAGUUGCAGGGUAUAGACCCGAAACCCGGUGAUCUAGCCAUGGGCAGGUUGAAGGUUGGGUAACACUAACUGGAGGACCGAACCGACUAAUGUUGAAAAAUUAGCGGAUGACUUGUGGCUGGGGGUGAAAGGCCAAUCAAACCGGGAGAUAGCUGGUUCUCCCCGAAAGCUAUUUAGGUAGCGCCUCGUGAAUUCAUCUCCGGGGGUAGAGCACUGUUUCGGCAAGGGGGUCAUCCCGACUUACCAACCCGAUGCAAACUGCGAAUACCGGAGAAUGUUAUCACGGGAGACACACGGCGGGUGCUAACGUCCGUCGUGAAGAGGGAAACAACCCAGACCGCCAGCUAAGGUCCCAAAGUCAUGGUUAAGUGGGAAACGAUGUGGGAAGGCCCAGACAGCCAGGAUGUUGGCUUAGAAGCAGCCAUCAUUUAAAGAAAGCGUAAUAGCUCACUGGUCGAGUCGGCCUGCGCGGAAGAUGUAACGGGGCUAAACCAUGCACCGAAGCUGCGGCAGCGACGCUUAUGCGUUGUUGGGUAGGGGAGCGUUCUGUAAGCCUGUGAAGGUGUGCUGUGAGGCAUGCUGGAGGUAUCAGAAGUGCGAAUGCUGACAUAAGUAACGAUAAAGCGGGUGAAAAGCCCGCUCGCCGGAAGACCAAGGGUUCCUGUCCAACGUUAAUCGGGGCAGGGUGAGUCGACCCCUAAGGCGAGGCCGAAAGGCGUAGUCGAUGGGAAACAGGUUAAUAUUCCUGUACUUGGUGUUACUGCGAAGGGGGGACGGAGAAGGCUAUGUUGGCCGGGCGACGGUUGUCCCGGUUUAAGCGUGUAGGCUGGUUUUCCAGGCAAAUCCGGAAAAUCAAGGCUGAGGCGUGAUGACGAGGCACUACGGUGCUGAAGCAACAAAUGCCCUGCUUCCAGGAAAAGCCUCUAAGCAUCAGGUAACAUCAAAUCGUACCCCAAACCGACACAGGUGGUCAGGUAGAGAAUACCAAGGCGCUUGAGAGAACUCGGGUGAAGGAACUAGGCAAAAUGGUGCCGUAACUUCGGGAGAAGGCACGCUGAUAUGUAGGUGAAGUCCCUCGCGGAUGGAGCUGAAAUCAGUCGAAGAUACCAGCUGGCUGCAACUGUUUAUUAAAAACACAGCACUGUGCAAACACGAAAGUGGACGUAUACGGUGUGACGCCUGCCCGGUGCCGGAAGGUUAAUUGAUGGGGUCAGCGCAAGCGAAGCUCUUGAUCGAAGCCCCGGUAAACGGCGGCCGUAACUAUAACGGUCCUAAGGUAGCGAAAUUCCUUGUCGGGUAAGUUCCGACCUGCACGAAUGGCGUAAUGAUGGCCAGGCUGUCUCCACCCGAGACUCAGUGAAAUUGAACUCGCUGUGAAGAUGCAGUGUACCCGCGGCAAGACGGAAAGACCCCGUGAACCUUUACUAUAGCUUGACACUGAACAUUGAGCCUUGAUGUGUAGGAUAGGUGGGAGGCUUAGAAGUGUGGACGCCAGUCUGCAUGGAGCCGACCUUGAAAUACCACCCUUUAAUGUUUGAUGUUCUAACGUUGACCCGUAAUCCGGGUUGCGGACAGUGUCUGGUGGGUAGUUUGACUGGGGCGGUCUCCUCCUAAAGAGUAACGGAGGAGCACGAAGGUUGGCUAAUCCUGGUCGGACAUCAGGAGGUUAGUGCAAUGGCAUAAGCCAGCUUGACUGCGAGCGUGACGGCGCGAGCAGGUGCGAAAGCAGGUCAUAGUGAUCCGGUGGUUCUGAAUGGAAGGGCCAUCGCUCAACGGAUAAAAGGUACUCCGGGGAUAACAGGCUGAUACCGCCCAAGAGUUCAUAUCGACGGCGGUGUUUGGCACCUCGAUGUCGGCUCAUCACAUCCUGGGGCUGAAGUAGGUCCCAAGGGUAUGGCUGUUCGCCAUUUAAAGUGGUACGCGAGCUGGGUUUAGAACGUCGUGAGACAGUUCGGUCCCUAUCUGCCGUGGGCGCUGGAGAACUGAGGGGGGCUGCUCCUAGUACGAGAGGACCGGAGUGGACGCAUCACUGGUGUUCGGGUUGUCAUGCCAAUGGCACUGCCCGGUAGCUAAAUGCGGAAGAGAUAAGUGCUGAAAGCAUCUAAGCACGAAACUUGCCCCGAGAUGAGUUCUCCCUGACCCUUUAAGGGUCCUGAAGGAACGUUGAAGACGACGACGUUGAUAGGCCGGGUGUGUAAGCGCAGCGAUGCGUUGAGCUAACCGGUACUAAUGAACCGUGAGGCUUAACCU
rnacentral:rRNA from 1 species